rnacentral:rRNA from 1 species
AUAGCGUAUAUUAAAGUUGUUGCAGUUAAAAAGCUCGUAGUUGAAUUUUAGGCCUGGUUGGACGGUCUGCUCUAGGGUUUGUACUGUCCUGACCGGGUCUUACCUUCUGGUGAGCUGUCGUAUUGUUUACUCAGUGCGGCAGGGAACCAGGACUUUUACUUUGAAAAAAUUAGAGUGUUUAAAGCAGGCAUUCGCUUGAAUACAUUAGCAUGGAAUAAUAGAAUAGGACUUUGGUUCUAUUUUGUUGGUUUCUAGGACCGAAGUAAUGAUUAAUAGGGAUAGUCGGGGGCAUCAGUAUUCAAUUGUCAGAGGUGAAAUUCUUGGAUUUAUUGAAGACUAACUACUG